rnacentral:rRNA from 1 species
CCUACGGGUGGCAGCAGUGGGGAAUAUUGCACAAUGGGCGCAAGCCUGACGCAGCAAUGCCGCGUGAGGGAAGAAGGCUUUCGGUUUGUAAACUUCUUUGACAGGGGAAGAGCAGAAGGCGGUACCCUGAAGACAAGCCACGGCUAACUACGUGCCAGCAGCCGCGGUAAUACGGAGGUGGCAAGCGUUGUCCGGAUUUACUGGGUGUAAAGGGCGUGUAGACGGGAAGGCAAGUCAGAUGUGAAAUGGGGAGGCUCAACCUCCAAAUUGCAUUUGAAACUGUAUGGCUUGAGUACUGGAGAGGCAGACGGAAUUCCUUGUGUAGCGGUGAAAUGCGUAGAUAUAAGGAGGAACACCAGUGGCGAAGGCGGUCUGCUGGACAGCAACUGACGGUGAGGCGCGAAAGCGUGGGGAGCAAACAGGAUUAGAUACCCUUGUAGUC